UCCCUGGUGGUCCAGUGGUUAAGACUCAGCACUCUCAAUGCCAGGGGCCUGGGUUCGAUCCCUGUCCAGGGAA
rfam:TPA: Bos taurus chromosome 23, whole genome shotgun sequence.